rnacentral:rRNA from 1 species
UACGGGGGGGGCAAGCGUUGUUCGGAAUUACUGGGCGUAAAGGGCUCGUAGGUGGCCAACUAAGUCAGACGUGAAAUCCCUCGGCUUAACCGGGGAACUGCGUCUGAUACUGGAUGGCUAGAGUUUGGGAGAGGGAUGCGGAAUUCCAGGUGUAGCGGUGAAAUGCGUAGAUAUCUGGAGGAACACCGGUGGCGAAGGCGGCAUCCUGGACCAACACUGACGCUGAGGAGCGAAAGCGUGGGGAGCAAAAGGG